rnacentral:rRNA from 1 species
GAUGAACGCUGGCGGCGUGCCUAAUACAUGCAAGUCGAGCGAACAGACGAGGAGCUUGCUCCUCUGACGUUAGCGGCGGACGGGUGAGUAACACGUGGAUAACCUACCUAUAAGACUGGGAUAACUUCGGGAAACCGGAGCUAAUACCGGAUAAUAUAUUGAACCGCAUGGUUCAAUAGUGAAAGACGGUUUUGCUGUCACUUAUAGAUGGAUCAGCCCCGCAUUAGCUAGUUGGUAAGGUAACGGCUUACCAAGGCGACGAUGCGUAGCCGACCUGAGAGGGUGAUCGGCCACACUGGAACUGAGACACGGUCCAGACUCCUACGGGAGGCAGCAGUAGGGAAUCUUCCGCAAUGGGCGAAAGCCUGACGGAGCAACGCCGCGUGAGUGAUGAAGGUCUUCGGAUCGUAAAACUCUGUUAUUAGGGAAGAACAAAUGUGUAAGUAACUAUGCACGUCUUGACGGUACCUAAUCAGAAAGCCACGGCUAACUACGUG